rnacentral:rRNA from 1 species
AAGCCCCGGCUAACUUCGUGCCAGCAGCCGCGGUAAUACAGAGGGUGCGAGCGUUAAUCGGAUUUACUGGGCGUAAAGCGUGCGUAGGCGGCUUUUUAAGUCGGAUGUGAAAUCCCUGAGCUUAACUUAGGAAUUGCAUUCGAUACUGGGAAGCUAGAGUAUGGGAGAGGAUGGUAGAAUUCCAGGUGUAGCGGUGAAAUGCGUAGAGAUCUGGAGGAAUACCGAUGGCGAAGGCAGCCAUCUGGCCUAAUACUGACGCUGAGGUACGAAAGCAUGGGGAGCAAACAGGAUUAGAUACCCUGGUAGUCCAUGCCGUAAACGAUGUCUACUAGCCGUUGGGGCCUUUGAGGCUUUAGUGGCGCAGCUAACGCGAUAAGUAGACCGCCUGGGGAGUACGGUCGCAAGACUAAAACUCAAAUGAAUUGACGGGGGCCCGCACAAGCGGUGGAGCAUGUGGUUUAAUUCGAAGCAACGCGCAGAACCUUACC